rnacentral:rRNA from 1 species
GACAGAGGGUGCAAACGUUGUUCGGAAUUACUGGGCGUAAAGCGCGCGUAGGCAGCAGCGUGUGUCGGGCGUGAAAUCCCACGGCUCAACCGUGGAAGUGCACUCGAAACUGCGCAGCUAGAGUCUCGGAGAGGAAGGCGGAAUGCUUGGUGUAGAGGUGAAAUUCGUAGAUAUUGGGAAGAACACCAGUGGCGAAGGCGGCUAACUGGUCCAGAUCUGACGCUGAGGUGCGAAAGCGUGGGGAGCAAACAGG